AAGGAGGACCAUGUGGAACUGCUCAGGCCAUUCUGCCUGAUUCCCCAUAGAGUAACCGUGGAUGUCGGUGUGAAAUUUCACCCACAUCACGGGGAGCACAGGCGUGUGGGGUGAAGAGGGUUUCCUAACCAGUGCUGUUACAGUGACAGGUAUUCACUGCUCUUUCCAACAGCCAGUGCUCGUAGUUGGCAGAAGGAUUUUCUGAAUGGAAGGAUGAGGGAUUUGUUGGCCUUAGACUUUGUGUUUCUCUGAUCCACAUGCAGAAACUGCUUACUGGGAUUAGGUGGCAUGACUUCCUCAGGGAGGCUAAGCUCAGUGCUUAGCCUCUGCAUUUCUACUCCCAGGAUGCUCUCCUGACGUGAAGCGUGAGCUUGGUUUGGGCUGAAUGAUCAGCUUCAGUGUUGCCUCCCUUUGCUGCACUGUGAGUACAGGCGCUGUGCCACACAAGACACAGCUCUGCGAGCUCGUGUCACAUCUGUCAGAACCAUUAAGCUGGUUUUAUAGAUUGAGUUCUGUUCACCUGCCUCGUAGCCACGUGUCCAUCUCGGUGAUGUUUGGCUUUUGACAACCUGCAGGAGGACUGGCCUGGUUGGAUAAAAAUAAGCUCUUCCUCUUUACGUUUGUGUUAAAGCUGCUGUAAACGAAGUUUAUUUAGUAAAGGAAAAUAUCAAACUUUGUCUUUUGACGUUAAAAUGAUGCAGAUUUUUCCAAUAUAUUUUAGGCGUAUUUGCAUAGUUAACUUAUUCCCCCCCUUAUCUUGAGUCAUAGAUCAUUUUUUCCAUGAGCCUAAAAAGCCUGGUACUGAUUAUGCUCCCAGUAACACAAGAGAAUGUUUUUUGUGUACUGGUGUUAAAAGGCCCAAGGCUCUGUCGAUUGCUUUGUUAUGUAUAUGGUGGAUUGGGCUUGCCAACAUCUGUUAGGAGUUAAGAACUUCAGCUUUGAAACAGAAUUAUUUCCCUAUAUGUUUUAUGGGAUAAUUGCAGAUAGGUGUACGGGAGGGAUCCUCUUGGUAGGAAGAAAGCUGGUCUGAGUUUUGAGAUGCUGAAAUGCUGGAGUCACAGGGAUAAUACACAUCAAAUAAUAUUGACUGUGCUAAUCAUAGUGCAGCUGGUGCCAUAGGGGCUAUUUACACAAUUUUGAUCAGUUUAUUGCAUAUUUUUGUGCAACCAGGGCACUUUUAAGGGAAUACUGGAUCACCAGGCAGUGCCGCCAGGCUGAGGCACUGAUCACGACUUCCUUGUGAGGAGUUUUCUCUCUCAUUUAUGAAUUUCAACUCAAGGUUCUUAAUUGUGUGUGUUUGCUUUUAAUACAUCAUUUCCUCUGCCCUGCCUGGGCUGCCAGUGAUCGUCACGGUGGGGAGGUGACUGCUCUUAGCUGAAUACCCAAAUGCCAGGUUACUGUGACACCAUCGCUACUACUGGAUGUGCUGCCAACCAAUGGUGAUAUUUACAUGCUCUUGUAACUCCUUACAUCUGUGUCAUUAUUGGGUAGUCUUGCCAUUAAGUUUUCUACUUGUUACGUUUUACACUGCUCAGCUGAACGUCAAGUUCAUAUUCCAUAAAAUAUACUGAGUAUAUGCACAUUAUUUUGGUGAUGGUGAUGCAGUUUUGAGUCUUCAUGCUACGUCUGCUCUUCUAAAUGCAGGACCUCUUGAUUCAGCACUGAGGGAUCCACUACUUAUUGUAUCAUAGGUAUGUUAGAAUGAAGAGGGGAGCUCCUCUUUGUUGUGGGUUGUUUAGUUUUGUCUUGUUUGGGUUUUUCUUUCUGCGUGGGAGAAGACCAAGUUUUGCAAGGUUUCUUCCUUCCUUUACAACGGAGGGAAAUGUAACCAUCUUUCACCAAAAUUUAUAGAUUUAGACAGGCUUCCCAUUCAUUUGCUAAGUGCUUGAAUUCAUUUUAAGACAGAUGAAACAACAAACAGAGAAUGCUAAUCUGUAUUGAAAACAAGAAAAAUCAGUGCAAACCAGUCUGCUCUUGUUUAUUGUUAGAAACGCUGCUUUAACCCAAAUCUGCUUUUGUGAGGACAAAAUGACUGGCAAGAGCAGCUUUAUGAGUUAACCAGUGACUGGCUCCUGAAUAGAUUUCUCAGAUGCACCAUGUUGGAGAUGGCAACUGCAGCGGUGGCCUCUUCCAUGAGCCACCCUUGAAGGCUGUGGGAAGGGUUCAGCUGGUGCAGAAGGAGCCCAUUGAUGGUCCAUCAUUUGAAAUCUGUACAGAGUCAGAGACCUGAAAAAGCACCGACUGCAAGCACCAGCUCUGGGUUUUUCAUUGCUGGUGUUCAUCUUGGCUUGUUAAGGAACUAUCAGCAGUAAGUUGUAUUUGAAGUGUUUCACUGAGUUAUAGUGCCCUGUCCUGUAAGGCAGGGCUGGUCUGUGCAGGAGAUGGAACUCUCUUCCACAACUGCUCUGCCCGAAACACAUUUCCACAGAAGCAAAGAACGGAGCCAGCCGAUAGCACUGCCCUUAACCACACAGGUGCUACUUCAUCUGUCUCUAGCAUAAACCUGGAGCAGCUUUGAUCUUAUUUUUCUAAGCCAGGGUGUGUAAUGUAUUUCAAACCCAAGUGCUAUACUGCACACAGAUGGUGUCCUACCAAAUAGAUAAAGGAAUGGCCCACAUGCAACAGAUGUUACCUGAGUCCAGUAAUGAGCUGCUGACAAGCAUCAAGGUGCUUUGAUGGUCCUUCUGUGUGUAGCACAGCAGCUUGUGUUAGCAGUAAAUACUCCUUUGUUCACAGUGCCAGCUUCUAGUUAACCUUUUGAAAAUAGUGGUUUUAGGCAACCUAUGAGAUACUUUCAGAGUUCUGUGUUCUUCUGAAGGUUUAGUUGUGAGGUUCUUUUACUAAAUAAUGCCUUUGUACAAGGUUUAUAGUUGGGAGGAAGAUGCCUGUUGGUUUUUAAAGAGAUUUAUAUCUGGUUCUGAUCAUCAUCUGAUCGUCAUCUGUCCUGAUGCUGAGGGAAGAGUGGUGCUGUGUCUCUCACCAGUACGUUUGCCCAGUUUCAGAGCUGCAUCAGCAGCAGAUCUGGAGACGCUAUAGAGGGUAAACAGGGCUGUGUACAUGGAAGCCAAAUGCAUUUCUAGAGACAGGGUUUGACUUAAAGUGUCUGUGUGGUCCGCUCAUGUGUUUGACCAGGUAGGGACCUUGCAUGGCUGCUGAAAGCUGGUAGAUGCUUCAGUGCUUCAUCUUGCAGGUUUGCUUUUCUAGUUGUUUCAGCA